CUUACAAAGAGCAUAAAUUUGUGCAAUAAUAGGCUACAUCCAAUGUUAGGGGACCAGAAGGAGCCAGAUUUGCUUCCCUAAGUCAGACUUCCAACAACAUCAAUUUGUGGUUAUGUGCUCGGUUYAUACUAGGGAAACAUUAAGUGGUCUAGACAGAGAUAAAUUAUAGAAAUGAACACAAAUGUAAUUCAGAUUACUCAUUCCCUGUGCUAAAAAUGUUACUAAAAAUAAGAAGCAAGAAGACACUUACCGUCUCCAAUUUUUUUUAUGUUCUCAAUUUUCUUGAGUAAUAUCAGACACUGCUGAUAUGUGGUUUGUGGGGCUACUCCAUGUGAAGAAGCAAAAUAAUAACACAUGCCUUGAUAAGUUUAAGCAGGUCAUGAGGGUGAAGCCAGCACACUAAUGGAAAUGUCAGCUGUACUCUUGGCAGACCUGUCUACAGGAGCAAGUAAGGGGCAAAUUCAGAUGAGCCAUGCAGUCCUGCCUGCCCUGCUAGAAAAGGUGUUAGAAAAGUCACUACCAUGAAGUCCUGACACGAGCAUAACUGGUGCACCUGGGACAAGGAGUCAGAGAACAGAGCUCAGCUGUGAACUUUUUCAUAAUGAGCAAGGGUCCUAAGGUGAACAAUAACAGGAAAUGUUUUAUUCAUGUUGUUAUCACCAAAGUUAUCCUGACUUCAGUGACUCUGUAAAUGUCCCAAAGAAAGACUCAUAUGUGAUUGCUGUCAAGUGAUUGCUUUUUGGAUGUUGGCUGGAAAAAAACCACAAGGCUUCCUAAGUUCAAUGAGACCUUAGACCCUCUUAGACACAGAGUUGAGGUCAGUACAAUUAUAGAACAGGCUGUGAUGAAGUUAGAAUCCAGAUACAUUUGCCUCAGAUCCUGAUAUUCUGAAAUGCACCCUUCUGAAGA
rnacentral:lncRNA from 1 species